rnacentral:rRNA from 1 species
GACGAACGCUGGCGGCGUGCUUAACACAUGCAAGUCGAACGGAAACGCCCUGCUAUCGUGGGGUGAUCGAGUGGCGAACGGGUGCGUAACACGUGUGCAACCUGCUCUAGACUUUGGGAUAACUUCAGGAAACUGGGCCUACUAUCGGACAGGAGACCCUGCUGCAUGGUGGGGGUUGGAUAGUUUCGGCGGUUGGGGAUGGACUCGCGGCUUAUCAGCUUGCUGGUGGGGUAGUGGUUUGCCCAGCCAUUGACCGGUAGGCGGCCUGAGAGGGUGACCGGCGACAAUGGUACUGAGAUAGGGCCCAGACGGCUACAUUAGGCAACAGGGGGAAAUAUUGCACAGUGGGCGGGAGCCUGAGGAGGCGGCGUCGCGUUCGUAAUGACGGCCUGCUGGUUAAGAACCGCAUUCGCCUAAGACGAAGCGUGAGUGACGGUAAUCAAUGAAGAAGCACCGGCUAACUACGUG